GACGAACGCUGACGGUGUGCUUUAGACAUGCAAGUCGAACGAGAAAGCCCUUCGGGUUAGUAAGGUGGCGAACGGGUGAGUAACACGUGGGCAAUCUGCCCCUCGCAGGGGGACAACCGGAGGAAACUCCGGCUAAUACCCCGUAAGUUCAAAGGGAGGCAUCUCUCUUCGAAGAAAGGUAGCUUCGGCCAUCCGGCGAGGGAUGAGCCCGCGGUGCAUUAGCUAGUUGGUGGGGUAACGGCCUACCAAGGCGACGAUGCAUAGCUGGUCUGAGAGGACGAUCAGCCACACUGGGACUGAGACACGGGCCAGACUCCUACGGGAGGCAGCAGUGAGGAAUAUUGCGCAAUGGGCGAAAGCCUGACGCAGCGACGCCG
rnacentral:rRNA from 1 species